rnacentral:lncRNA from 1 species
UGCCAAAUCUCCCCGUUCCCUGGUUCAGACCCCAGUUGUGCUGAGGAUGGCUGUGUGAGCCGGAGGUGAACCCCCCUCCCUCAACUCCACCUCGGUUCCAAGGAUGUGCCAUCAGAGGGGACCACAAAGCUCACGCAGUGCCUGAGCCCCCCCCGUCCCAAUGGGGAGCAGCUCUGCUCACAGCUGCCCUCCCCACCCCUGCCCCGCUGCGAGGAGGACUCGGGGCGCAGCAGUGCCCUCUCCCUGCCCUCGGCACGACGCGGGCACCGUUACCUUGGGCACCUCUCCCUUCCUGCCGGGGGGCAGCCGCAGGAUCCAGAAGUUCCUGUUCUUCAGCAGGUUCUCCAUGUUCUCCAGGCGCCGCUGCAGCAGCCCGUACUCCUGGAUGAGGGUGCCCAGCGCGGCACAUUUGCUCUCCAGCUGGUUGCCCAGCUCCGUCGCCGUUUUCUCACAGUCGAUCAGCUUCUUCUCGGCCACCCCGGUGCGGCCCUCCAGGUCCAGCAGGCGGGUGGCAUGGGAGUCCACCUUCCUCUCCACCGCCUGCACGGCCGUCACCACCGUCAGGGACAGCUCUGCCGUCUGCGUCUCGCGCUCCGAGGUGCAGGUGCUGCUUCCUCUCUGGAAGGGUGAGGGGCAGCGCGGCCGCAUCCCCAACUCCGGAACCUGCGGGGAUGGGGUGUGGGCGUCAGCGGGACGGCUGCAACCGCGGGGACGCGGCCCCAAACCCUCAUCAGCCACAGAGGGAUGAGGACAAGGCCACCACUGCUGUCCCACGUCCCACUGCCAACCUGGAAGGAUGGGAGCACAUUGCUCAACCCUGGGCCAGCGGGAUGGGACGGCUGCCAGAGGCAGCAGGAGUUGGGCAGCUGCCCAGGAGCUGCUCCCGGGUGGGACAAGGAGGAAAUGGAGCUUCCGCUGCAGCCAACGCCAACCUCAGCCUACAAGCACGGCACUGGGACUGCCAGCCUGCAGCGCUGCAUCGCGGGGAGAGGUGACCAACGUGCCGGGGGGACACGCGGCAAUGGGGCGGCCCAGUAGGGUGAAGCGGGGCACACGACGAGGGGCAGUGCUGGAGCUCCAGCAGUGUUCGUGCACCUCUGGUUGUGCCAGCAGUGUUUGUGCA